GUUGUAUAGUCAAGUAAUUAAGUGCAUGUGGUGGAUGCCUUGGCAGUCAGAGGCGAUGAAAGACGUGAUAGCCUGCGAAAAGCUCCGGGGAGGCGGCAAAUAUCCUUUGAUCCGGAGAUGUCUGAAUGGGGGAACCCACCUACUUUAAGGUAGGUAUUGCAACAUGAAUACAUAGUGUUGCAAGGCGAACGAGGGGAAGUGAAACAUCUCAGUACCCUUAGGAAAAGAAAUCAAUUGAGAUUCCCUCAGUAGCGGCGAGCGAACGGGGAUCAGCCCAUUAAGUUAUGUGUGUUUUAGUGGAACGCUCUGGGAAGUGCGAACGUAGAGGGUGAUAUUCCCGUACACGAAAGGGCACACAUAAUGAUGACGAGUAGGGCGAGGCACGUGAAACCUUGUCUGAAUAUGGGGGGACCAUCCUCCAAGGCUAAAUACUCCUGACUGACCGAUAGUGAACCAGUACCGUGAGGGAAAGGCGAAAAGAACCCCUGUGAGGGGAGUGAAAUAGAUCCUGAAACCGCAUGCAUACAAGCAGUGGGAGCACCUUCGUGGUGUGACUGCGUACCUUUUGUAUAAUGGGUCAGCGACUUAUAUUCAGUAGCAAGGUUAACCGUAUAGGGGAGCCGUAGAGAAAUCGAGUCUUAAUAGGGCGUUUAGUUGCUGGGUAUAGACCCGAAACCAGGCGAUCUAUCCAUGAGCAGGUUGAAGGUUGGGUAACACUAACUGGAGGACCGAACCCACUGUCGUUGAAAAGCCAGGGGAUGACUUGUGGAUAGGGGUGAAAGGCUAAUCAAGCCUGGUGAUAGCUGGUUCUCCCCGAAAGCUAUUUAGGUAGCGCCUCGGACGAAUACCAUAGGGGGUAGAGCACUGUUUCGGCUAGGGGGUCAUCCCGACUUACCAAACCGAUGCAAACUCCGAAUACCUAUGAGUACUAUCCGGGAGACAGACUGCGGGUGCUAACGUCCGUAGUCAAGAGGAAAACAAUCCAGACCGCCAGCUAAGGCCCCAAAAUCAUAGUUAAGUGGGAAACGAUGUGGGAAGGCAUAGACAGCUAGGAGGUUGGCUUANNNNNNNNNNNNNNNNNNNNNNNNNNNNNNNNNNNNNNNNGAAGCAGCCACCCUUUAAAGAAAGCGUAAUAGCUCACUAGUCGAGUCGGCCUGCGCGGAAGAUGUAACGGGGCUAAAACUAUGUGCCGAAGCUGCGGAUGUAUACUUUGUAUACGUGGUAGGGGAGCGUUCUGUAAGCCGAUGAAGGUGUGUUGAGAAGCNNNNNNNNNNNNNNNNNNNNNNNNNNNNNNNNNNNNAUGCUGGAGGUAUCAGAAGUGCGAAUGCUGACGUGAGUAACGACAAAACGGGUGAAAAACCCGUUCGCCGAAAGACCAAGGGUUCCAGUCCAACGUUAAUCGGGGCUGGGUGAGUCGACCCCUAAGGCGAGGCCGAAAGGCGUAGUCGAUGGGAAAAUGGUUAAUAUUCCAUUACUUCUGUGUAAUGCGAUGAGAGGACGGAGAAGGCUAAAUCAGCCUGGCGUUGGUUGUCCAGGUGAAAGGAUGUAGGCAUGUAUCUUAGGCAAAUCCGGGGUACUCUAUGCUGAGAUCUGAUAGCAAGCUGUACUUGUACAGCGAAGUGGUUGAUGCCAUGCUUCCAGGAAAAGUCUCUAAGCUUCAGUUACACAGGAAUCGUACCCGAAACCGACACAGGUGGUCAGGUCGAGUAGACCAAGGCGCUUGAGAGAACUCUGCUGAAGGAACUAGGCAAAAUGGUACCGUAACUUCGGGAGAAGGUACGCUGUUGUUGGUGAUGGAACUCGCUUCCUGAGCUGACGACAGCCGCAGAAACCAGGCCGCUGCAACUGUUUAUUAAAAACAUAGCACUCUGCAAACACGAAAGUGGACGUAUAGGGUGUGAUGCCUGCCCGGUGCUGGAAGGUUAAUUGAUGGGGUUAGCGUAAGCGAAGCUCUUGAUCGAAGCCCCAGUAAACGGCGGCCGUAACUAUAACGGUCCUAAGGUAGCGAAAUUCCUUGUCGGGUAAGUUCCGACCUGCACGAAUGGCAUAAUGAUGGCGGCGCUGUCUCCAGCAGAGGCUCAGUGAAAUCGAAAUCGCUGUGAAGAUGCAGUGUACCCGCGGCUAGACGGAAAGACCCCGUGAACCUUUACUGCAGCUUGACACUGAACUUUGACCUUACUUGUGUAGGAUAGGUGGGAGGCUUUGAAGCUGGAACGCUAGUUCCAGUGGAGCCGUCCUUGAAAUACCACCCUGGUAAUGUUGAGGUUCUAACUCUGUCCCGUGAUCCGGGACGAGGACCGUGUCUGGUGGGUAGUUUGACUGGGGCGGUCUCCUCCUAAAGAGUAACGGAGGAGUACGAAGGUGCGCUCAGCGUGGUCGGAAAUCACGCGUAGAGUAUAAAGGCAAAAGCGCGCUUAACUGCGAGACCCACAAGUCGAGCAGGUACGAAAGUAGGUCUUAGUGAUCCGGUGGUUCUGUAUGGAAGGGCCAUCGCUCAACGGAUAAAAGGUACUCUGGGGAUAACAGGCUGAUACCGCCCAAGAGUUCAUAUCGACGGCGGUGUUUGGCACCUCGAUGUCGGCUCAUCUCAUCCUGGGGCUGAAGCAGGUCCCAAGGGUAUGGCUGUUCGCCAUUUAAAGAGGUACGCGAGCUGGGUUUAGAACGUCGUGAGACAGUUCGGUCCCUAUCUACCGUGGGCGCUGGAAAUUUGAGAGGAUCUGCUCCUAGUACGAGAGGACCAGAGUGGACGAACCUCUGGUGUACCGGUUGUGACGCCAGUCGCAUCGCCGGGUAGCUAUGUUCGGAAGGGAUAACCGCUGAAAGCAUCUAAGCGGGAAGCCUACCUCAAGAUAAGAUUUCCCUAGGACUUUAUGUCCUCUAAAGAGCCGUUCGAGACUAGGACGUUGAUAGGUUGGAUGUGGAAGCAUAGUGAUAUGUGAAGCUGACCAAUACUAAUUGCUCGUGAGGCUUGACUAUACAACACCCAAGCAGUUG
rnacentral:rRNA from 1 species